rnacentral:tRNA from 1 species
GGAUAUAGCUCAACUGGUAGAGCAACAGCUUUCUAAGCUGUCGGUCGCGGGUUCGACUCCCGCUAUCCGCC